AUGAUGAUGUCACUGACUCUACUGCUGGGCACCCUGGGGCUCCUUGUUCAGGGUUCAUCAGGACAAUACAUCCUGACUCAGUCUCCUGGAUCUCAGUCUGCUGCUCCAGGACAGACUGUCACCAUCAGAUGUAAAGCCAGCUCAGGUGUUGGUAGUAACCUCCACUGGUACCUUCAGAAAUUUGGAGAAGCUCCUAAACUCCUGAUUUAUAAUGCUCUAUCUCGUCAGUCUGGAUUUUCAAAUCGUUUCAGUGGAUUUAGAUCGAGCAAUGAUUACACUCUGACCAUCAGUGGAGUUCAGGCUGAAGAUUCAGGAGUUUACUACUGUCAGCAGGGUUACAGCAGACCGUUCACACAGUGA